CAUGCAGUCGAACGGCAGCAUGAUCUAGCUUGCUAGAUUGAUGGCGAGUGGCGAACGGGUGAGUAAUACAUCGGAACGUGCCCUGUAGUGGGGGAUAACUAGUCGAAAGAUUAGCUAAUACCGCAUACGACCUGAGGGUGAAAGUGGGGGACCGCAAGGCCUCACGCUAUAGGAGCGGCCGAUGUCUGAUUAGCUAGUUGGUGAGGUAAAGGCUCACCAAGGCGACGAUCAGUAGCUGGUCUGAGAGGACGAUCAGCCACACUGGGACUGAGACACGGCCCAGACUCCUACGGGAGGCAGCAGUGGGGAAUUUUGGACAAUGGGCGAAAGCCUGAUCCAGCAAUGCCGCGUGUGUGAAGAAGGCCUUCGGGUUGUAAAGCACUUUUGUCCGGAAAGAAAUGGCUCUGGUUAAUACCUGGGGUCGAUGACGGUACCGGAAGAAUAAGGACCGGCUAACUACGUGCCAGCAGCCGCGGUAAUACGUAGGGUCCAAGCGUUAAUCGGAAUUACUGGGCGUAAAGCGUGCGCAGGCGGUUGUGCAAGACCGAUGUGAAAUCCCCGAGCUUAACUUGGGAAUUGCAUUGGUGACUGCACGGCUAGAGUGUGUCAGAGGGGGGUAGAAUUCCACGUGUAGCAGUGAAAUGCGUAGAGAUGUGGAGGAAUACCGAUGGCGAAGGCAGCCCCCUGGGAUAACACUGACGCUCAUGCACGAAAGCGUGGGGAGCAAACAGGAUUAGAUACCCUGGUAGUCCACGCCCUAAACGAUGUCAACUAGUUGUUGGGGAUUCAUUUCCUUAGUAACGUAGCUAACGCGUGAAGUUGACCGCCUGGGGAGUACGGUCGCAAGAUUAAAACUCAAAGGAAUUGACGGGGACCCGCACAAGCGGUGGAUGAUGUGGAUUAAUUCGAUGCAACGCGAAAAACCUUACCUACCCUUUGACAUGCCACUAACGAAGCAGAGAUGCAUUAGGUGCCUCGAAAGAGAAAGGUGGACA
rnacentral:rRNA from 1 species